AGGCCUGACUCGCAGUGUGGAAUUGGAGCCUGUUGGGCAAGGAAUGGGAGACAGAGCCUUUCCUUCCCUAAUUCCUCUAAGCUCAUGCUCACCUCAAGGCACUCAGGCAGCCCCUGGUUCUGUGCUCUGUGUUUGGCUGGUCAGCGUUCUCCUGCCAGGUGGUCCCCUCCUGCAGUUAAUUACCUGCCUGGGUUAAAGGUCACUUGUAAGGGUAGGACAAGAGCUGAGGCAGAGCUUGUUGGGACCCUGACAGAGAGGGAGAAGCAGCAAAUGGAGUUGGAAAAGUAUUGUCCUUUCUGUACCUGAGAAGCUGGACAAGACCAUGAAAUCAGACCUGUGGUCUUGUUGGGGAGUCCACGGUCCAAGGGAACUCCUGGAUUGCUCCUGAAGCCCUGGCCAGGCUUGGGGCCCGAUCCACGAGGAAGCUGAGCCGGGCUGUUGCCGCACUGGACGUUGUGUCAGCCUGUUGCUGGCACCCAUUUGUCCGAGCUGGGCCCUGUCCCAGCAGAGCUGUAAGUCUCUUUGCCUGCAGGUGGAUGUGCCACUGGCAAGUCCCAGUUGUGGGAGAGGCUCUCCAGUGCUUGGCUGGGACAGGGGGUUCCCAGCUCACGCGUUGUGGCUCUGGAGGAUGGUGAAGUCUCAGGGUCCCUGGUGCUGCGUCUCAGUCCCUGUGGUGCUGCUCUCUUUGGUAGCAGUGGUGAGGGGCAUUGCAGGGCUUUGUUGUUUGGAGUUCUUUGCUGCUUUGAGCUCUGGUGGAUGAGGCUGGAUUCCUGAAGCUGCUGUCUGUGUCUUUGCUGCUGCCCCUGCCCCCUGGCCAAACAAACCUGCAAGGAUUUAAGGUUUUAGGCCUGGUAUUCCCUUUGGUGAGCUUCCUCCCAGCCCUGAUGUACUCCUGGAAGUGCCAUGGAGGUGUCCUCCUCUCAGGACUGAGGAGCUGUAGGCUGGGUGCUGCUUCUGUUCUGCCCUGGGAACCCUUGGGAGGGCUUGGAGAGAAGCCUGAAGAUGGGCUGGGGAGACAUGAUCUGGGAUAUUCCCCCCUCCUGAUGUUUGGUACCAGUGCAGUAGGAAAGUCCAGGUUUCCAUCUAGCUCAGGAUUUCUUGGUCAAGGGACCAAACCUCUGGGAGAUGCUGGAGUUUGAGGGGGUAUUGUGCUAGCUCUGAUGUAGAGCUGCCUCCUGUCCUAAAGUAAACAGCACUUGCUGCAACUGGCAGACUUCUGUUUGUUUCCCUCAGAGCAUUUAGAGGGCUCUGUAGCUGCUGGGCUGUUCCCAACAGGUGCAAGGUCCUUGUCUGUGCAGUGUAAUGAAUCGUAUUCCACUGAGACUUGAAUGAGCCUCCAGGAAUUUGUGAGCUGAUGAAGGGAUUUCUGAGCCAAAGUUCCUGACCUGAAUAAGGUUGGCAGCUCUAGUGGACACGCCGAUUGCUGGUAAUUGUGCCCUUCUGGCUGUGGAGCACCUUGGGGAAGCAGUGGCCUGAAGCUGUUCUUGUCUCUGGCAGUUGCGGGGCACGCUUGGAUCUCUGCUGCAGCUCUUCUGGUGUGUAUGAUGGGUGGUUUUCAGGGAUGUGAUGGGCAGCAUUGCAGCCUGGAGCGCUUGUCUGGCGGUGCUCAGGGGUGUAAUGGCCUGCCGGGUUCCUCCUCUGCCUCUGUCCCCGGGCGGAGCUGUCCUGCCCUUUCAAGCAGCCCUUCCUUUCCUGGGCACUUGAUCCGUGCUGUGCUUGAGGGAGAGAUCUUGGCUGUGGCUGUGUCCUGCCUGCCUCGACUGGCAAAUGCUGCGGUUGUGGUUGGCGCGUGGCCGUGGGGAUCCUGGGAACAGUACCCUGGAGCGAGUGCAGUGAUCCCUGAGGUUGAAGAGAGGCUUGGGAUGAGGCGAAGAGACUUGGAGCCACCAUUUUCUCAGAAUGACACUUCUGCUGAAAGGAAAGCAAGACUGGAACGUGGCGACUUGGAGGAGUUUUCCCACAGCUGUUUGCGUCUGUGCUGUCCUGUCCUUGUCUUCCUGCACUGUUGGAGGCGGGACUCAUUUAUUUGGGUUUUCCUUUUCCAUCCCUGGGGACACAGGUGCUUUAGGCUCAGCCUGAAGGAGAUUCCCAGUGGAGUUUGUGAUAGCUGCUGUUGGUUUUUUUUUUCCCAGAGCUGGUUUAUUUAACUUUGCUUUCACGCAAUAAACAGUUGAAAAUUAGCUUCUUACAGGAAUUGGCAAGAGAAUUAAGCAGCGUUACCCUUCUUAUACUGCUGAGCUUGAUUCUGCUCCAAGUCCUGCAGUACCUGAGGACCCCAAGGUGUUCAGUUUUUCCCAAGGAGUGGGAAGAAGAAGCUUAUUCCUCUGCUUGAGCUAAGAGUCUACCUGGAUUUUUGCCCUCCUACAGAGCUCUCCUGCUCAGAAAGUGAACAUAACCUUGUCUUCUCCAUGUCACCAACAAGCACGUGACAAAGAAGGGGACCCAGAAGUUCUCGGGGCCCUGGCAGCGAGAGCAGCAGCAAAUGGUGUUGGAGAGUUUCUGUGAGCCCCUGUUUGGUGUUCCAGGUGCUGCAAGUCUUUGGCCCAACUGCUGGGAGCCACUGGACCCUUGAUGAGCAUUGACUGCGCUUGUGGAGGGCCUGGCCACGUGGGCAUUCCUGGGAGGAGGAGUGCCCUGGAGUGAGUGCAGUGACCCCUAAAGUUGGAGAGGUGCUUGGGAUGACACAAGGAGCCUCUGAAGAAACCAUUUUCUAGACUCCGACCUGUGUUGAAAGCUCUGUGGCAGUGCUGAGUGUUGCAGAGUGGCUUGAAGGGUUUGCGAGAGCCGACCAGGGAAUGGAGGAAUCGGCUCCAGCGGGGUCCCUGGCAAAUGCCGGACGAGAACUGACACAGAAUUUCUUGGGACCCUGGCAGAGAGAGAGAAGCAGCAAAUGGUGUUGGGAGAGUUUCUGUGAGUACCUGUGAGAUCAUGGGCUUCUUACAGCUUAAGAAAGGAUCUGGAUAGGAAAAGAGCUUGUUUUCCAUGAAACCCUCAUGUGGAACAUCUGAACAAAGAGGAUGGGAUGGGACUUCUUGGAGCCUAGAAAUAAGAUGAUGUGAGUAUUACUGAUAGCAGCAGAGCAUCUGGAGCCAGCUGGCAGAAGAUUCUGCAAGGUAAGUGCAGAGCUGAAUGAUACAAGCAGGAAAACAUCUGGGGCUGGCUUUGGACUUCUCAAGGCCUUGUAGAUUCCUCUCUCCAACCACCACUUGUCAGUAGAGCUGGAUCGCUAUCCUUCAGCGGACCGUCAGUGUCUGGUGUUCCUGGCGUUUUAGUAGCUUGAGUUUUGCCCAAGGAAGAGCAUCCUGGUCUUGCUCUUGUGUUGAGACAGCUUAGUGCCCUUUUGGACCUCCUUCAAGGAGUAGGAGGAGCCUGGAUUUGUGUCUCUUGGAUGGUGCUGGCCUUCAAGACAAGGACUAAAGGGGAGUGCCAAGGCAGCAGGGGCUGCUCUGGAAGUCAGGAGUGGUUGUGCUCUUCUGUCCUGGUUCUGCUUAAGAGAUGGCUCAGGGCUGCUGAAGUGCUGAGGGCUGAACAAACAGCCCUCACCUUUGAGCCAAAGCUGAGCUCUUGAUGGAACCUUCCAGCCUAAUGCUGUGUUUGUACGCGUUCAUUAACAAAGUCCACAGGAUCAUUAGUGUUAGGGCCUAGGUAUCUGCUCACUGACAAAACAGGGCUUGACCUUUCUGUAACUGAGAAGCUGGACAAAGCCACAAAAUCAGACCUCUUGCCUUGCUGGCAGCUCCUGGGUUGUUCCCUGAGCCCUGGCCAGGCUUGGGGCCCAAUCCACGAGGAAGCCGAGCCCGGCUGUUGCCGUACUGGACGUUGUGUCAGCCUGUUGCUGGCACCCAAUUGUCCGAGCUGGGCCCUGUCCCAGCACAGUCGGAAGCCUCUUUGCCGGCGGGUGGACGCGCCCGUGGGAAGUCCCGGUUAUGGGAGAGGCUCUCCAGUGCUUGGCUGGGACAGGGGGUUCCCAGCUCGCGGGCUGUGGCUCUGGAGGAUGGUGCAGCCUUAGGCUGUGACUGGUGCUGUAUCUUAAUCACUGUAGGCAAUUGGCCACACCCAGGCACCCAUGAAAGUUGUUCACUCGCUCUCUGCUGCUCUAGUUGGGCAAAGGAGAGGGGGGAAAAAAAAAAUUAAUGAGGGGUUUCAUGAGUUAAGAACUGGGAGAAAAACACUCUAAGGGCAAAACGGGUUCAAAUUUAAAGGUGUAAGGUUAAUUUAUUAUUAACAGAGUCAGGGAAUCAUAGUGAGAAGUAAAUUAAGCCUUUAAAACACCUCUUUUCCCCCCCUCCUCUUUCUUACUGACAGUGCAGGGAGACAGGGCAUGGGGGUUUUGGUCCGUUCAUUAUUUGAAUUUUUCUUCUGUUUGCCCAGGGAGAGGAGUUUUGUUUUCUGUGGUAUGCUGUGGGGUCCCUCCCACAGGUAAAGAGUCUUCCCAAAGCUGUUGUGUCACAGGUUCCUCAUGCACAGGGUACAGUUUUUUAGGGAUUGGUUGCUCUAGUUGGGAAGCAAGGGCUCUCUUUAUCUCUAGAAGCAGGUACCCUCUCUCUCUCUCUUCCUCUUCAGGUCUCCCCCUGGACCAAAGCUUUUUCUGGCUUCCACCCCCUCUGGCAUGAGUGCGUUUCCCAUGGGCUGUGAGUGGAUCUCUGCAUCCCCUGAGGACUUAAUGCAAAGUGACAGGGCCACAACUUGUUUCAUCACAGUCCUCACUGCAGUUUGCAGAGGAAUCUCAGCUGGGACGAGCACUUUGGAGCACUUCUUCCCUCUUUUGUCCAUUGACCUUGGUGCUGCCACGUUCUUUUCCAGCACCUCCUCACUUCCUCCUCUUCUCUGACUAGAAGAAAAGCUGCUGCUCGUAGGUGCUACUGCUAGAAGGUUUCACCAGUUCAAAGACCCCUGCAGGAUCCCCCAGCAGCAGGAGGUUGAUCUCGUUUAGGCUGCGCGUCGGGGAGUCGCUCGCCGUGUUUUUGCCGCGGGCAGCGGCAGCCACCAGGGCCCUGGCGCUGUUUAAGGCCUCUCCUGGUGCGUGUUGCCGGAGGAGAAGCUGCCGCUGCCAGCCCUGCCCUCGUGCCUGGGGCGCGGCUGGCCGUGGGGCCGGGCAGGCCGGCUGUGCCACGGCCGCACCGAGCUGGCGGUGGCCGCAGCGGCGCCUCGCCCUGCGCCGUGACGGGAUGGGCUGUGGCACGGCGCCUCCCAGCCCCUGGAACAAACUGCCCGUGGGCUGCUUUGAUGGUCUUUGUCAAUGGGACCAUGAGGCCUUACCCGCCUUUCUAAUUGGGCCGGCGGCACGCCCAUCUUCAGAGCUAUCAGCAACUGGCUCUGUUGGACACGGUGGAAGCUUCUAGCAGCUUCUCCCAGAAGCCACCUCUGUGGGCUCCCUGCCGCUACCACAAAACCAGGCUGUGCCAAAUCAACACGGCAGUGUUUGGUAGGAAUGCUGAGUUGCAGUGAUGAGCUUCUCCUUUUGUAACUUCUUGUUUUGAGCCUGAGUAAGUGACAAAAUUCCUGAAGCUGGUCUCUGUGAUUCAAGCAUGGAAAGAAAAUCCCGUGCCCCCCGCCCCCUGGAGUCUGUGAGCAAGAACCUGAAUGUAUUGGAUUAUGUAACCUAGAAAUGUGUGUUCUGUUUCCUCUGUGGAAAGCAGUUUUUUUGGGACAUGUUUUCUCCUUCUCUCACCCUUCCUUAGCAUACUUGUCCCAUGUAUUACUGGAACAUUAUCUCCAUCCACUGUGUGCAGGUGUUCCCACUGGGCAGGACCAGCUCGAUUGAUGGAGCUUUGUGUGCUGACCAUCCAGGUGGCCUUUGCUAAGUUCACUUUCUGAUUUUUGAAGGUCCUCCUGCCAAGUGCUUUCAGGCUAGUCUUAAGUAGUUCAUUGCACCGUUCACCUUUCCCGGCAGCUGGUGCAUGAUCAGGGAUGUGACAUAUCCAUAACUGCGUCUGAAGUUAUACCACGCUGAAAUGCGGCAUAACAUCGACGAGUUCAGCUGACAGUGUGAAGCGUUUUUAUAUCCACAAAGCUUUAUUGCACUUCAGUUUGCACUCCUGAGCUGUGAGUUUAGUUUCAAAGGUCUGAUAUUGCUGAAGAACAGACCCAAUUCACAUUCUGCUCUUUUUCCUGCCCUAAGACAGCAUUUUAGUAGCUCUGUGCCAGUUACAUAAGGAAAAAUGCUAAUGUAAUAUUAAAAUUAUUUAAAUUAUGUGAUGUUGCAUCUUGUUUAUCUGACAUUAAAAUCUAGGACUGCAGCUCUAA